AGGAACAAUUUGCUCAACUACCUCGUGCUCCAUGAGGCAACCAAUGACGACAACUCUGUUUUCACCCUGACACCAUGUGAAGGCUCCAGCUCCUCCACUGUCCUGCUCAAGGCACCUCAAGCAGUUAUGGUGCAUCAUCGCCACAGAUGAGGCUUUCGUCCGAAGCGACCGGGCGGCGAUGGCCUUGCUAUCGCGGAUGAAGCCAUCUGGGGGUACAUUGGUGUGCUGCUGUGGUGCCCACGUACCAGUACCAUACUGAUGACCUGUCUUUCGAGUUCAAUAUCCUGGAUGGCCUUGUCUUCAGCCAGGUAAACGAGAGGAAAGCUACAAUCAAGUUCCAGCUGAAUAAGGCCCUCUGCAUGGGUGUUGCUGUGAGCAAUCUGUUGAUGUGGGACAAGCAGAUCCAGCAGAACAUCGAGAUGAGGGUCAACUUCCGGUUUGUGUGCAUGGAGCUCUACCAACCCAUGCGUCUCCAGCUGAUGGCCGAGCCACUGAGCCUUCUUUGACCAGUGGUUGUUGGACAUGCUGGCUCGAGGGGUACACCUAGCAUCAGAAUGUUGUGGCGACCCUGAAGGGGAGCGGUGGAUUUGGCCCUGAUUCAGCAGGGGGGAUGGAGGCCUUGGCUGCUGGAUGGAACAUGCUUUUUUUAAACAUCGUCAGAUGUGACGAUGCUUCUCUGAUGUCGUUUGGCUAUCUGGCAUGGACCAUGAUGGCCAUGAAGUGAUCAAGAUCACAAGGCACAGAUGUAUGACGUAUUUGCUUUGAAUUCAUUAUAUAAUGUAAUUUGAAUGUGAAUUUGCUCCCAUUAUAGUGUCACUUGAGCGUGCAUGUAUCCAGAUGAGUUCUGUGCUCGAAAGCUAUGUUGGCAUAAUAUUGCAUGAUUAGAGUUUUGAGUCAGUUUGAUGUAAUCUGAUUUGCACUCGGUCAGGUGACCAUUUGAACCUUUUCCGGCUGAUGGGGUUGGCACAAAAGUACCAUGUACAUUAGAAAAUUUUAAAUUGGCAUGUUUCAUGGGAACUCUUUUAUGCUCAUGGUUUAUAGUGGUUGGAGAGAACAUUU